UUUUUUGUUCUCAGCUUUCUUGGGAAUAAUAGAAAAUCUCCAAGUUCAAAUCUAUGUCAGAGUGACGUGUUUGUUCCUUUUGUACACAAAUAAUAACUAUAUACAGAGCAGGUGAAAGGUGGCUUUCUGGCUUCUUUAGUUCCUGUUUGCUUCAGAAGGUAAUGUCAGUUCACAAGCACGUGUAUCUAAAACUUAGGAGACAUACUUCACAGUUUGAGGUUCGGUGGGUCAUGAGCCGUUCUGAAAGGGAGUGUGAAGCUCGCCACUGAAAGUUUCACUGUUUCUAAGUGUUCUCUGGCAGGAAAACACAAGCCAGUCACCAUUCCUCAAGAUGGUGAGCUGACAGCAGGCCUAUCUCUCUCCUUUAAUGUAUGUAUAAAGAGUCUGCAAUGCAGAUUUUCCCAGAGGGAGGUUUCACACGGACGUCGGUAGUUAACCUUGAUAUUAAAGCAUUAGAUGAGAGGGAUUAUGCGGUUAUUAAUUAUCGCGCUUUGUUUGUGCUUUUACAGUAGUGCUUUUCGUUACCGCUCUCUUCGCAUGUGGGGCUAUAAUUAAGAGAUGACUGUCACCACAGGCUGGCUGCAGUCUCCAACUGAGAGAUAAAUGCUAGUGCCAGCUCCUACAAGUGGGGUACCAAAGUGGGCGUUCGGGAAUGAAUAGAAGAAGCAUUGGAAAUUAAAAACCUAAUUGCCACUUUUUUUCCUAGUCCAAGAUAAAGUUUCCAUCUAAUUUACUAUUUAUAAUCAACUAUUAAUUAUUUAAGUAUACCUCCUUGGUUUUUAAUUUUCCUAUUCCCUUUAACACCUUAAAAAAAAUCACGACCAAAACAUGUAUAUUCUGAUAUGAUUCCACUCUAAGAUUUUCUUCCCAUUUCAGCAUGCAGGUUUUAUUUUUAAAAUACAUAAUAAUAUAAUAAUAAGUAAUAAUAAUAAAACGUAACUGCAAGGUUACAGGCCACAAUGACUUAAUUUUUCUCUGAUCUAUUAGAGUCAGUCUUUUCUCCCAUUGGCUCUGUUACCCACCACUUGCCCGUCAUAUGUGUAGAAGGCAUAUUCAUUUUCCCCAUUUAAAAACAUUUAUGAUGUAGUCGUUACAUAGGCUUACUUGGGACAAAGGGAAAGGAACUGCCCAGAACUAAAGAAAAAAAAUCAAAGCCCAAAUUAUGAAAUUUAUUAUUUUAAAAGAUUUUUGCAUAUGUUCUUAGAUCAAGUGAUGGUUUGUCAAAAAUCUGGCAGCGAGAACCAAAAUAGCAUCUCUGCGGGAAUUCAGGAUGACGGCUUGGUAUACACCCGUACCGGUGAGCCUUUCUAAAAGCAAAUCUUCUGGCUUGACUUAAGAGUUUGAGCUCUUAAAGAUCAGUCAUGAUACAUGUACAGGAUACAGAAAAUACCUGCCAAGACUUGAGGUACGUUGUCAUCUGUGUUCUUCAAAGCUAGGCGCUGCUGACCACGCAUUCACAGCUAUACCUGAGCUUUCUCGUCUGCCCUCCUUCAUGCUACCUUAGUACAUGACACAUUGGAAGUCAUAAAAUUUACAAAGGAAAUAUGAUGGAAGGGACAUUUGAGUUGUGUCUCUAACAUAGUGUGUUAGAGGCAUAAGUUUUAAGAGGGCCGUGGUAGUUUUAAGUAGUCUAAACAGUGACUGGCUCCUGAAAUCACCCAACGUCACUUGGAUGCUUAGAGCACGCUGUGGGGUUCACUUUAUUGUCUGCAGUGUUACAGAUGAGAGUGUGGUGGCUCGGGAGGUGAAGUGACGGAUCCACGGUGGCGGGGUACCACCUGCAAGGCAGAGCCCAUGGUUUAUGUGAUGCCAACGGCCCGUGCUUUCCAGUUCAGAACGCUUUCUCUUCUUGAUCCUUUCAGACACCAGCCACGCUUCCAUGCAAUGGCGGCUCCAUGUGACUGAAGUGGUUAUGACCUUCUUUUCCCUGCUGGAAGCCCAAGUCUCUGCUCUGAGUUUCUAAUAAUGCAUGAACUCUUGCUUAUGUAUAAAUGAUAUGUAGAUAAUUACCUUGGUUUUCUUGAGACAUCCAAUGUUAUCUGCAGUAUUGGAUUUGAAAGCAGCUAUUUCAAUUAAAGAAACUAAUAGUAGUUAAGGUCACAGCAGAUAACACAGUAGGAUAGAAAGUCUGGCCAUGGGCCUUCAUGUUUUCCAGACUCAUUAUCUACCUCGUUUUUCUUGCUCUUUUUUUUUUUAACCAAACCAACCGUACUUUUCUAUUGAUUUGUUUUAGCUUAAUGAAAUUGGGAUACAUAUUUUUAAACAGAUGUCAUAAGACGCUUCCUUGCUGCCAAGUCAGAAAAAUGAACUGUGACACUGUUGCCACCAAGAUACUAAGCCCGAUCACAGAGGAUCGGAAAUGGUUCAGAAGAGUCACUGGAUUUAAAAUGAAGAACCGUCCAUGCUUGUUACUAAAGCAGAGAGUGGUAUUUGCUUAUAGGAACAAAGGGAGCUCCUACUUGGUUCAUUUUAAAAACACAUAUACUUGAUAUAGCAUUUUCCCCAAUUUAGCAAUUAAAUAAAUGGAUAAUUGUAAUCUAUGAUGCCACACGUAAAGUAACAUAGUGCUUGUGUGAUUUCUAUAGACCUUUUAUCCUCUGUAGACGCUAAGUUUUUUUUCCCACGUGUAUAUACAAUUUGAAAAGAACUUUCGAUGCUCCCUUUCAUUCAUAUUCUUUUUCUAUACUUUGUGUUGAGAAUUGCUCUUUAAAAGUUAGCAAGACUUAAAAACAUUUACUUACCAUCUAAAACCCAUUUUUGGUGACCUGAAGCGUCUUCCAGUGUCUGUCCCUAGAAUUGUUUCCAUGAAGAAAUCAUAGAAAUGAUCUAAGAUAUCUUGGUAACAAAUUCUCAAGUGGCGAGCUAGGCUUUUUCUCUUACAUAUGCAAUGUAUUCAGACAAUAAUCUCCUAUUGAUUAGAGAGCAAAGAAGGACCCUAUGCAGUCAUACCAAAACGUUUCUUUUAUGUCAAAGAAGUACUACGUACAUUGCAUGUUACCUUGAAAAUGAGCCAGUUUGUAGCACUUCCAUUUAGUCCCAUGAAUGUAGAUCAUCCCAAGGACCGCGCAUUGAUGACGGAGGGCCAGUGUUCAUCCUUACUCUCUACUUGGGCUACUUAGGACAUUAUGGUGAGCUACAGACUCCUGAGUCUGUACCAUCAAUGGCGGGUGUCAUGAUUUCUCUGCUUGCGACUAAAACUCACCCUGACCCUAGCUUGCCAAUUUCUACUCCUCUUAAUUGUGAAGAGGUUUCAGGUCCUGUUUCCAGCCCUUGCUUAGAGGAAG
rnacentral:lncRNA from 1 species